rnacentral:lncRNA from 1 species
AAAAAUACAAGUAAAUAAGUCUCAAAAGUUGGAUCUCAAAAGGUUUGAAAAUGGUUGGAAAAAAAAUAGAAAGUGAAAAUAAAAUGAAAAAUGAAGGAAAAUAUCAAUUAAAUGCAAAAAUGACUUUAAAAAUUAUGAAAAAUAUAUAUGUAAUGCAAAAUAUUUUAUGGAUUUUCUAUAAAAAAAGUUAAGGAUCAUUAAAAAUAAAAUCAGAAAGUAAAAUGAAAAAGGAAAUGAAAAUAAAAUAAAAAAAUAAACAUUUGAAUUAGGGCGCCAACGGCUAGUACACGUGUCAGAUAAUGAUUU